rnacentral:rRNA from 1 species
AACGAACGCUGGCGGCAUGCCUAACACAUGCAAGUCGAACGAGACCUUCGGGUCUAGUGGCGCACGGGUGCGUAACGCGUGGGAACCUGCCUUUAGGUUCGGAAUAACUCAGAGAAAUUUGAGCUAAUACCGGAUGAUGUCUUCGGACCAAAGAUUUAUCGCCUUUAGAUGGGCCCGCGUUGGAUUAGCUAGUUGGUGGGGUAAAGGCCUACCAAGGCGACGAUCCAUAGCUGGUCUGAGAGGAUGAUCAGCCACACUGGGACUGAGACACGGCCCAGACUCCUACGGGAGGCAGCAGUGGGGAAUAUUGGACAAUGGGCGAAAGCCUGAUCCAGCAAUGCCGCGUGAGUGAUGAAGGCCUUAGGGUUGUAAAGCUCUUUUACCCGAGAUGAUAAUGACAGUAACGGGAGAAUAAGCUCCGGCUAACUCCGUG